CCCAUGGAGCCCGUGCCUGCACAAAUAAAGGGGCUUCCUGGAAAGAAGAGCCUCAGUAUCCUGACUCUCUGUGCAAGAAUCCUGCUACAUUUCAUGGGGGCUCACGUUGGGGAUUUGGAGACAGUGCAUUUCCACCUCCUUCAUCAUCGGUGUGUGAACCUCGGAGCCCCGGGAGAAGUGACCUCACCUGGCACCAGCGGAUCACUUGAUCCAAAGGAGACUAGCCUUCUGGCGCUCUGGGACGAGGACCCUGUGUGUGUGCAAUGGAACCCGUGAGACCCAGGAACCAGCUCAGCAAGCGCCACCCAUCAGACUGGUGUUUAUGCGGUCUCAUGCCUGCCAACCUUCCUGUCAAACCGUUCCGUGGGCCACUCGACCGACUCUUGGGUGGACUCUAACUGCUGUACCCCCAUACCGUCCCUUAUCAGCUUGAAGAAGCCAGGAAUUCCGUCCGUGUUCUCUAACCAGUUACAGGCCUGUUCCAGGGGAGAAAUAAAUGGGGAAAGCGUUAACAUUAGGCAGGGAGAGAUAAGGGACCUUCAGGGAGGCAGACUACAGCUGCAGUUGGGAGGCUGAAGACGCAGACGGGGUUCUCCCCUUAUGAAAUCCCUUUUGGGCACCCUCCUGCCAUUAUCAAGGCAUAAGGGGGGAUCUAAAUGAGACAGGCAAUCUAACCCUAAGGCAACAGAUGAAGGCCCUUGGCUUUACUCUAACCACCUUACACCACUGGGUUAGGGACCGAUUACCCGUGAGUCUGAUCAUAGAUGCUCACCCCUUUAAACCAGGAGAUGCUGUAUGGGUGAAGGAGUAGAAUAUCCAACCCCUAAAACGCCUCUGGAGGGGCUGUUCACUGUCAUUUUGUCCACCCUUACUACAGUAAAGGUAGCUGAGAUGGGUCCCUGGAUUCACCACAGUAGAGUGAAACCAGCCUCUCGAAACUGGGAGUGCGUUCCUGAUCACCAAUGCCGGGCAAGCUGACCACAUGGAAGAAGCAAUCUGCAACUCCAGGGGCUCCAGGAGACUGCGGCCCUGCUUUAGUCACUCGGAAGCUGACUGAUGUACGCACGGCAGAAGCCUGAGGAAACGACAGUGCGGAGAAACAAAAGACUGGCCUUAUUUUCCAUAUCUGUUCCUUACUGUGAUGCACUGUCAACCCUUGUGUCUCACUGUCAUUGUGAUUCUUGCUCUACUCUUCACCGUGGGAUUGGCCGAGGCCGCCCCAGCCGGCUGGGAGUGUGGUGAGAGGUCUCUGUUUGCAACCACCUUCCUUUGAUGGAUAGGAUGCCUCCUUGGUGUUGGUUGCUUCUCAUCUGGACCCCUUCUGUACACCUAGAUUCCUCAUCAUGUGACCCAUGUAUUCGCACAACCAGGACUGCUCCACUGCCAUAACUUCCAGAAGACAGAUGAACCUUUCUACUCAAGAAGGCUUGUAUCUGCUGUUUCCCCUGAACUGGCUGUCUUUGCCUUUCAUAACUCCCCUAUAUCUUCCCCAACUGACCAAUGUCGACCCAUAAGCAGGGACAUCUCUACACCCUUAUUCAGCAGGAAGAACUUACAGAAGAGAAGACCUUCUACCCCUGGCAACCCUGAAGAUUUUAAGGGUCAAACUUGUUCGGGGGGAAUGAUGUGGGAGCAAAAGCAGAAGGAAAUGACAGAUAGAAUUAAAUUUCUUUAUAACCUGCAGCCCACUGACAAAUACUUGAGGCAAGCAGAGAAAACGUUUCUCCCCAGGGACUCCCCACUGUCUCAAUGCUGAUGCUUUGCUAGAGGGAAAAUCAACCUAAGCUUGACAAUAGUGAGGCUUCCAAUAUCCAGAGUCUUCUUUAGCAUGAAAUCUCACCGGGAACUUCCCCUGGACUUGACCUCCCCCAACCCCAUAGUAUAUAACCAGUGUCUCCUCAAGUCCUGGCAGCUCUUCCUGCCCACGGGUCCUGUCCCUGUGCCUUAAUCAAUCACCUUUUUGCACCAAAGACAUCUUCAAGAAUGCUUUCUUGGCCACCAGUUCCGAACCCCAACAUCACUGCGAAACUUCGUCACGUUCCUUUCUCCAUUCUGAAAGAGCUGAGCAGGUGUUCUCAGGCCCUCUUUCCAAGGGGCAGAGGGGCCAGACCCCAGCCCUCCGAAAAGCAGCUCCCGUGCUCCUGCUGCCACGAACAGCCUCCCCUUCAAGAGGAGCCUAUCUCCCAAGCAGAGGCAUCACCAAGCGACUGCUGCUACUGUCCUUACGUGCCUACUCAUCUCACUUCCAGUCCUUUUGUGUUCCUCGAUUCUGCUGCUGAUCUGGCCCAAGUCCUCACUGUGAGUCCGGGCCCCCUUUCUGAUGGAAACUCCAUGUGGUGGACACCCCAGGUCCUGUCAAAUCAAGCUCUGCGGAACUGCCCACAAGUUUCCUUGAUCAGCACUCCCUUUGAAGUUACAGUUAUUUGGGCCCUUACCACCCCUUGCCUGGACUGUCCCCAAAUGGCACCAAUGUCCUCUGGCUGCUCAGCUCCCUCUAGUUUAUCUGAUAAAAUAUACACAUGGUACAGUUAUGAUCAUAUCAUUCCCUUCUCAAAACAUUACUGACUUCCAAUCUGCUUUAAAUAUACGUAUAACCUGACUCCAAAAUCCUUCUCAGGGGCUUUAGCCACCUUUUGGACUGAUGUUUCCUCCACUUCCCCUUAACUACCGUGCACUCAGUUAAAUGGAGCUAUUCACACAUCUAUAUACCCCUCCAGCAUUGUCCCUCCUUGGGAAUAUUCCAUUGACUUAGUCUUCAAAGGCCGGGUCAUGUGUCCCCUCACGAAGUUUCCCCGGCCCUGUCCUACCUCACCUGGCACUUUCUAUUUUGGACCCAUGGCAGCUGUGAACCAGUCUCUUGACAUCACGUGUUCUCUGCACCCAGCGCAGUGCCCUGUGGGAUUGGCAAGCUGGACUAAAUGGGUUGUUUCUGUGACUUUGGUCUCAUUCACCGUUUUGGGAGAAGAGUAGCUAUGCUUAAUUAUCUGUAUGGCUACAUUUCAAAUACCCAACUUCUAAGCUGGGAUAUUAAGUCAAUCACUUAUGUCUUGGUGACAGAGCUGUGCCUCAGCGGCCUCUCAGCUGAACAAUAUCCAGCAUCCAAAAGCAAGAACAGAUGCUUAGGCUGGGCUGCCAUGGAGACGAAUGUUCUCUGAUCCUCUCUGUGAAGAAUGCCUUCAGGGUUGCUGGUUAUAGAAAUGAAUGUUUUUAGUCAACAGUACAUCUCAGCCUCCAACAUAAGAAAACCCUAUUUCUAGUACCAGCCUGUCUGCAGCACCAAUUAUGUUCGCUUCCAAAAUCAGUGGUGUUGCCACCAAAUUAAAUCUGCUGUGAAUUAACAGUAUCUGCCAACACGUGGGCAUUUGGUUAAUUAUUGUCUUUUUAUAAAAGAACUGUGCUUUAAUUGAUAUAUUUUUCUUUUACUUAAGCCAUUAAGGAUGUGCUAUUCCAGCUUGUCAUCCAGUAGCUCUGCAAAUAAUGUAUUUUUGGAGUGACAAUAAAUGGCAUUUGAAAAGUGUUAA